rnacentral:rRNA from 1 species
AGCGAACGCUGGCGGCAGGCCUAACACAUGCAAGUCGAACGGAUCCUUCGGGAUUAGUGGCGGACGGGUGAGUAACACGUGGGAACGUGCCCUUUGGUUCGGAACAACUCAGGGAAACUUGAGCUAAUACCGGAUGUGCCCUUCGGGGGAAAGAUUUAUCGCCAUUGGAGCGGCCCGCGUAGGAUUAGCUAGUUGGUGGGGUAAAGGCCCACCAAGGCUACGAUCCUUAGCUGGUCUGAGAGGAUGAUCAGCCACAUUGGGACUGAGACACGGCCCAAACUCCUACGGGAGGCAGCAGUGGGGAAUCUUGCGCAAUGGGCGAAAGCCUGACGCAGCCAUGCCGCGUGAAUGAUGAAGGUCUUAGGAUUGUAAAAUUCUUUCACCGGGGACGAUAAUGACGGUACCCGGAGAAGAAGCCCCGGCUAACUUCGUGCCAGCCGCCGCGGUAA